rnacentral:rRNA from 3 species
UGGAGCCGACCUUGAAAUACCACCCUUUAAUGUUUGAUGUUCUAACGUGGACCCGUGAUCCGGGUUGCGGACAGUGUCUGGUGGGUAGUUUGACUGGGGCGGUCUCCUCCUAAAGAGUAACGGAGGAGCACGAAGGUUGGCUAAUCCUGGUCGGACAUCAGGAGGUUAGUGCAAUGGCAUAAGCCAGCUUGACUGCGAGCGUGACGGCGCGAGCAGGUGCGAAAGCAGGUCAUAGUGAUCCGGUGGUUCUGAAUGGAAGGGCCAUCGCUCAACGGAUAAAAGGUACUCCGGGGAUAACAGGCUGAUACCGCCCAAGAGUUCAUAUCGACGGCGGUGUUUGGCACCUCGAUGUCGGCUCAUCACAUCCUGGGGCUGAAGUAGGUCCCAAGGGUAUGGCUGUUCGCCAUUUAAAGUGGUACGCGAGCUGGGUUUAGAACGUCGUGAGACAGUUCGGUCCCUAUCUGCCGUGGGCGCUGGAGAACUGAGGGGGGCUGCUCCUAGUACGAGAGGACCGGAGUGGACGCAUCACUGGUGUUCGGGUUGUCAUGCCAAUGGCACUGCCCGGUAGCUAAAUGCGGAAGAGAUAAGUGCUGAAAGCAUCUAAGCACGAAACUUGCCCCGA